AGUGAACGCUGGCGGUAGGCCUAACACAUGCAAGUCGAACGGCAGCACAGUAAGAGCUUGCUCUUACGGGUGGCGAGUGGCGGACGGGUGCGGAAUACAUCGGAAUCUACUUUUUCUUGGGGGAUAACGUAGGGAAACUUACGCUAAUACCGCAUACGACCUACGGGUGAAAGCAGGGGAUCUUCGGACCUUGCGCGAUUGAAUGAGCCGAUGUCGGAUUAGCUAGUUGGCGGGGUAAAGGCCCACCAAGGCGACGAUCCGUAGCUGGUCUGAGAGGAUGAUCAGCCACACUGGAACUGAGACACGGUCCAGACUCCUACGGGAGGCAGCAGUGGGGAAUAUUGGACAAUGGGCGCAAGCCUGAUCCAGCCAUACCGCGUGGGUGAAGAAGGCCUUCGGGUUGUAAAGCCCUUUUGUUGGGAAAGAAAAGCAGCAGGUUAAUACCCCGCUGUUCUGACGGUACCCAAAGAAUAAGCACCGGCUAACUUCGUG
rnacentral:rRNA from 1 species